CCCUAGUAACGGCGAGUGAAGCGGGAAGAGCUCAAAUUUGUAAUCUGGCGGUCUCAGGCCGUCCGAGUUGUAGUCUGGAGAAGCGUUUUCCGCGUCGGACCGUGUACAAGUCCCUUGGAACAGGGCGUCAUAGAGGGUGAGAAUCCCGUCUUCGACACGGACUGCCGAUGCUUUGUGAUGCGCUCUCGAAGAGUCGAGUUGUUUGGGAAUGCAGCUCAAAACGGGUGGUAAAUUCCAUCUAAAGCUAAAUAUUGGCGAAAGACCGAUAGCGAACAAGUACCGUGAGGGAAAGAUGAAAAGCACUUUGGAAAGAGAGUUAAACAGUACGUGAAAUUGUUGAAAGGGAAACGCUUGAAGUCAGUCGCGUCUUCCGGGACUCAGCCUCGCUCCUGCUUGGUGCAUUUCCCGGAGUGACGGGCCAGCAUCGAUUUCGGUCGUCGGAGAAAGGCCGAGGGAAUGUGGCACCCUUCGGGGUGUGUUAUAGCCCUCGGUCGUAUGCGACGACUGGGAUCGAGGAUCGCAGCACGCCUUUAUGGCCGGGGUUCGCCCACGUAACGUGCUUAGGAUGCUGGCGUAAUGGCUUUAAGCGACCCGUCUUGAAACACGGACCAAGGAGUCUAACAUGCCUGCGAGUGUUUGGGUGGAAAACCCGGACGCGSAAUGAAAGUGAACAAGUUGGGACCUCUGUCGCGGAGGGCACCGACGCCCGGACCAGACCUUUUGUGACGGUUCCGAGGUAGAGCAUGUAUGUUGGGACCCGAAAGAUGGUGAACUAUGCCUGAGUAGGGUGAAGCCAGAGGAAACUCUGGUGGAGGCUCGUAGCGAUUCUGACGUGCAAAUCGAUCGUCGAACUUGGGUAUAGGGGCGAAAGACUAAUCGAACCAUCUAGUAGCUGGUUCCUG
rnacentral:rRNA from 1 species